UACAGAGGGUGCAAGCGUUGCUCGGAAUCAUUGGGCGUAAAGGGUAGGUAGGUGGUCUCAUUUGUCUGGGGUGAAAGCCUCGAGCUUAACUCGAGAAGUGCCCCGGAAACGGUGAGACUGGAGUCUUGGAGAGGGUCGUGGAAUUCCCGGUGUAGCGGUGAAAUGCGCAGAUAUCGGGAGGAACACCGGUGGCGAAGGCGGUUCUCUGGGCCUUACCUGACGCUGAGGAGCGAAAGCGUGGGGAGCGAACAGG
rnacentral:rRNA from 1 species